GGUAAAAUGGCUGAGUAAAGCAUUAGACUGUAAAUCUAAAGACGAGAUAAGGUAUCUCUUUUACCA
rnacentral:tRNA from 1 species